rnacentral:rRNA from 1 species
UACGUAGGGCGCGAGCGUUGUCCGGAUUUAUUGGGCGUAAAGGGCUUGUAGGCGGCUUGUCGCGUCGGAUGUGAAAACCCGUGGCUCAACUGCGGGCCUGCAUUCGAUACGGGCUGGCUAGAGUACGGCAGGGGAGACUGGAAUUCCUGGUGUAGCGGUGGAAUGCGCAGAUAUCAGGAGGAACACCGGUGGCGAAGGCGGGUCUCUGGACAGUUCCUGACACUGAGGCACGAAGGCCAGGGGAGCAAACGGG